rnacentral:rRNA from 1 species
GUUGCCUACGGGGCGCAGCAGUGGGGGAUAUUGCACAAUGGAGGAAACUCUGAUGCAGCGACGCCGCGUGAGGGAAGACGGUCUUCGGAUUGUAAACCUCUGUCUUUGGGGAAGAAAAUGACGGUACCCAAAGAGGAAGCUCCGGCUAACUACGUGCCAGCAGCCGCGGUAAUACGUAGGGAGCGAGCGUUGUCCGGAAUUACUGGGUGUAAAGGGCGUGCAGCCGGGCUGACAAGUCAGAUGUGAAAUCCCGCGGCUCAACCGCGGAACUGCAUUUGAAACUGUCAGUCUUGAGUACCGGAGAG